GUGGUACCUUAAGAUGUUGGAGUUGGACAAGCGAUUCAUGAGCUGGAUCUCCUGAAGCAUGCUGUAGCGGUUGCUGGAGUUAAUGUUCAUUUUUAAUGCCAUCACCUGACCAGUUGACUUUGUGUCAAGACUGUUCAUGCAUUCUCGUCAGCCUUCUCCUAGUGACUGAUCUCUGAAAAGACCACUUUGUUCUAUGGCAAAAACAGAUUCAUCAGCCCUAUGCCUGUCACUUGACAGUAGAGAGGAGAUAUGUGAGAGAGGAUUACAUCACAAACAUCCAGACUGGGGGAGGAAGAACCUCCACUAUCUAGUUGUGACUAGUACAGUACUUUAUAUCAUGUACUUAUGUAUCGAAUUGCGUCGACACUAAUUUGAAUGACAAGCAUAUCUUUCAAAGAUGUGUAAAUCAUUCAACCACUGCUACCUAAUGAUAUAUGCACAGGUACUACAUGUAUACAGUACAAUAGCUGUAAUAGAUAAGUCACUUAAUAUCAUUUUUUUUUUAUAUCUUAAGUUGUUUAUUUAACCCUAAUAACUGGCUCAGCACAGAAAACUCUUUUCAUCUGGAGAAAUCAGUAAACUUUCAAAUUUCUGACUUUUUUUCCACAUUAGUACUAUUCUACAUGACAUAUAUAUGAAUCAUUAUAUUGCUUCAAGAUAUAAAUGCAUAAUGGAGAAAAAAUAGUUGGGCCAAUAUGAAAAAGAAAACCAGUGUUGGAUAAUUAAUACAUACAUAUGUAAGUAAGUUAAUUUGACCCAUGGGAUCUGGCCAACACUCAUAGACCCAAAUACUUAAUUAACACCAGCAUUUAACAGUUUUACAACUAUGAGCUCCUAAAAGUAAUUUAGAUCAUUGACUUUAUGAUUUAGCAAAAUAUAAUUGUCAGAAAAUGAAAAGUAUGUCCUUUAAGCUUAUCAUCAGUACAUUUGCUGUAACUUCAAUCCUCACAAGAUGUAUAUUGUUGGCAAAAGUACAAAUAUUCUGAUUUUCUGAUGGGAUAACAAACUAAUUAUCAUAAAACUAAAUACCAAAGGUAAACUAUUUCUCCUUUGAAACAUUGUAAUACAAUGCAUUCUGUACAUUAUUUAAAGUUAGCAUAAUUCAAAAUACCUUGAAGACUUCAGCAAAGAAUCCCUGUCCAACCUUUUCCAAAAUGAAAUCAUCUAGCCUUGUCAAGGCAGAUACUGCAUGUGUCAGGGCCUGGAAUGAUUUUGAUGAGGUCGGAUGAAAAGUUUCCGGAGAAUUUUCUUUUUCCUCUGCCCCUGAAGGGACGUAGUCCCCCUCCGCAAUGGUCCGGGAUCUCCGCAAGCUGGGUUUUGCAGAAGCCAUAUUCUCUAUCAACAUUAUGACCUCUUCUCGAAACGAGAAAGAGUUCGAAAAUAUGCACUCCGUAUCAUGUCAUUUUUUACGAGUUUGCAAUUUCUAUAUAUAAUGUUCGUAAAUGUUGGUUAUUCUGCUUAAUGCAUAAUCAGGGAAGUGAGCAAAUGUCAUUGGCCCUGUGCCAACUAAGUACCCGGCAAAAUUUCUUUUUCGUCACGAAAACAUCCGUAAUCUGAACACGAUUUAAACACUUGUCUGCUUAUCAUAUUCCACAAUUUAUCAUGUCACAGUAAAAUUAGUGUCCAAAAUAUUGAUGGCAAAACACUAUAACAUAUUUUAAUCAUGCCGUUCAAGUCAGAAACAUUUCACUUCGCAAUGUUUACCUCUACUUUCCACAAGUGUAAACUUUCUACUGC